UACGUAGGGGGCAAGCGUUGUCCGGAUUUAUUGGGCGUAAAGAGCGUGUAGGCGGCCAUGUAGGUCCGUUGUGAAAACUCGAGGCUCAACCUCGAGACGCCGAUGGAAACCAUGUGGCUAGAGUCCGGAAGAGGAGAGUGGAAUUCCUGGUGUAGCGGUGAAAUGCGCAGAUAUCGUAAGGAAGACCAGUGGCGAAGGCGGGUCUCUGGACAGUUCCUGACGCUGAGGCACGAAGGUCAGGGGAGCAAACGGG
rnacentral:rRNA from 1 species